CUUUAAGUAUUCAGUAGAAUAUACUUAUGAAUCAAUUUGACCCUGUUUUUUUUCCCUCUUAGGAAAUUCAUUGAGUGCUUGUUCAAUAUCUUUCUCUGAGGAAAGACUGUGAAAAACUGGAGAAUAUUCAGAGAAGAGAAACUAAGUGGAAGUGACAAGAAAAAAACCACUGUGGUCUGUAGAAUUAAGGAACAAAAUGGUGGCUUCCUAUUGGAGAAUGGAUACACAAAUGGUGGAAUUUGAAUAUAAUGGAAUAUUAUUGUGCUAGAAGAAAUGAUGAAAUGAUAAUUUGAGAAAAUAGGGUAAAUCUUUAUGAACCUACACAAAACAAAGUGAGGAAAAAUUUUAAAAAUCAACUUUGAAAUUUGAUUAACAUAAUUAUAGAUGAGUCCAGACAAAUGAAGAUGAAAUAUACUGUCAUAGAAAUAUGAUCAUUUUAAGAUAUAGCAAGAAACAUGUUUAACAUGGAUAAUAGGGAGAUUUAAUAUUUACUGAAUUAUGUAAGCACAUACACACAUAUUGCUUAUUGUAAAAGAAUGGAGUUUAGAUGAACAAAAAGUAUAUGUUGCUUGACAAACGUCAAGCAUACUAUAAAAAGUGCAUUUUAUAAAGUAAAAAGAAUUACAUUGUAGAAACUAUUUGAGGAGAGGUAUUCUAGAUGUGUUAGUCAAAAUAGACCAGAAAUGGGAAAGAUAAAGCAGAAAGAGCAGUUAUGAGAAGACAGCUGCUUUAAUAUAGAUAUGAUAUGAUAAAUUAGUGGAAAGAAAGAGAAAUGUGAAUAUGUAAAGGAACAAGAAGUGUAUGAAAAGACAGUGGAUGUAGAACUUGAAACGAGAGUUUUUUACUGCUAAUUAACUAUGUUGUUUCAAAUCCAUCCCUACCACUUACCAACUACAUGAUGAUAUGAUAGGAAGUCACUUAACCACUUUUGCCCUGCCUCAGUUUCCUCCUCUUUAAAAUGAAGGUUGGACUGAGAGUUUUCUAAAAAUUACUUCUACCUUUACAUGGUUUUCAACCUCAUUACUUAGUUGAAAUGGUUCUCUUCCAAGCCACUAAUGUUUUCUUAAUCAAGAAUACUACUGGCCUCUUCUGAGUUCAAAUCCUCCUUAAUUUCUCUACAGUAUUUGUCAUUUUUUUGGGUCACGUGCCCAAAAGGAGAGUGAACAAAUGUGAA
rnacentral:lncRNA from 1 species